rnacentral:rRNA from 1 species
UACGUAGGGGGCUAGCGUUGUCCGGAAUCAUUGGGCGUAAAGCGCGCGUAGGCGGCCAGAUAAGUCCGGUGUGAAAGUCACAGGCUCAACCUGUGAAUGCCGCUGGAAACUGCCUGGCUUGAGUCCGGAAGGGGCGAGUGGAAUUCCUGGUGUAGCGGUGAAAUGCGCAGAUAUCAGGAGGAACACCGAUGGCGAAGGCAGGUCUCUGGGCCACUACUGACGCUGAGAAGCGAAAGCAUGGGGAGCGAACAGG